AUGCUAAAAUUGCAAUAUGGGAGGGUAAGGAAAUGGGCUAGGCACCAGAUUAAUGGACCAGCAUGGGCACACAGGCAACCAGGAAGAGCAAUGAGAGUACAGGUAGAGGAAGAGAUUAGGGACACACUUCCUGUUGGGUUUAAUAUUAAUUGCAGAGUUGCGGCUGUUCUCCCCCUGACCACAAAUGAACACAAACGAAUGCAAGAAUUUCCGAAUGCCAGCUGCUGGCUGCUAAUGCCUGUACCUAGCCAACACUUGAUCUUCAGACUUCAGUUUAACCAACACGUCGGAGAGGCAGGCGCGGCACCGUCGGCGAGCACCGGCGACGAGGUGCAGAAUUAG
rnacentral:rRNA from 1 species